UUUUAAAUUUCUCAAACUUGUUACAAUUUUUUUUGGUGAAGUUGAUGCAACUCGAUUUUUCUGACAUUAUGAGUGGUGGUUAUUAAAUGUUACAUGUUUAUUAAAUAUAUUAUAUUUGGAUUAUUUUAAAUUUGUCGCGAUAAUAAAUUGAGACAAAUCGAACGCGAUUAAAGGGUUUUGUAGUCGAAUUUUAUUUUCAACAUGGAUCCGGUAUUAGCUUAAUUUGUAUUAAGCUCUAAAAAAAAGGGGGCCGAUUCUAUAAAUAGAAAGACGGGGAGGGGGAGAGAAGAAGCUGAACUGGUUUGACCCGCGACCCGAACCGACUCGCGAACGUGACCCGGUUGGAACUCACGAUUUCGGCCACCGUUCCGACCAAGCAAGGUACCAAUGUGAAGCUUAGAAGCCAACCAUGACAACUCGUCGUCCUCCCCGUCGAAAACCGACCGGAACGCGGCCGUUGGAAGCUCAAAAAGUUGCAGCCAAAACCCAUCACCAUCGUUGUCGAUUUCACCGGAAUUAGGCUGCGUCACCGGCUGGGUUCUACUCCUCACGUCACCAGUUUCUAUUUCCGACCGGUCCCGUCACCUGAAACGGCCGGAUUGUCGCAGAUCGGCCACUUGUAGGUUCACGGAUUUGGGAGCUCGAUCCGGAGCUGUCACCGCGCAUGGGACCUCACCGCCACGACCAUUGGACUCAGCGUGGUUAAAACUAUCAGACCUAAGCUUCCCAUCGCCGUUGCCUGAACACCGGUCACUGUUGACAGGCAGGGGUAAUUUGGUAAUUUCACAAACUUUGGGGAUAAUUUCGUAAUUUCAAAAAAUGGUGGAUAACUUUGUAAUUUCAUAUUAGGGCAGAUAGGUAAUUUGAGAUUUUGGGGGUAAUUCGGUAUGUUGUUAAGGGCAUUUUGGUAAUUUCGCACUCCAAGGGUAAUUUUGUAAUUUUAGGCCUUAUGGUUAUUUUUGUAAUAUGAAUUGAGGCUAGCUUAGUAAUUUAAAUUUGGUAAAUAUCGAUGUCGGGGCAUUUUGGUAAUUUUAGGACGUAGGAGUAUUUUGGUAAUUUUAUGAAUACAGGACGGACAAAUAUUUGUUUCGAGUUCUAUUGCGUAAAAUUAGUUGUAUUUCAUAUAUAUGGAAAAUGAUUAUGUCGUUUCCUUCAAUUAGAAGGAUUUACGAACGGGAAUUAACCUGCAGACAUUGAUGAUACCGAUUUCGAAUAUUGUCACUGUGAAUGGAAUAUACAAAACUUAUUUUCAUAAUAUAUUCUAAUUUUACGAUACAGUACAGUAUUUUUUGAUAAAUAAAUAUUUAAUGCUCUGAUUUAAUGAUUUUCUAGAAAAUGAAUUCUUAUCUAUGUGCUAAUAUUUAUUUAUUAUUGAAAAUGAGUUUGAUUAAUGAUUUUACUAUCAUUUUUAAGUUAAUGCAAGAUAAUACUUUUAAAGAGAAUUAAGUGAAUUUGAAGGGUUGUUUGCAAAACAUAAAUGAGAUUUAUGUGUGAUUAUAUGUUUAUGUAUAUGUGUAUAAAAGGGUUGUUUGCAAAAUCAUUGGGCAGUAUCCUUCCCCUUCAGAUAUAGUGAUCGGGAUGAGAUGAGAGUCCUUUGGGGCUGUCUGAACACACAUAGAGG
rnacentral:lncRNA from 1 species